CCGAGUUUACAAACUCCCAAACCCUUUGUGAACCUUACCAUAUCGUUGCUUCGGCGGGACCGCCCCGGCGCCCUCGGGCCCGGAGCCAGGCGCCCGCCGGAGGCCCCAAACUCUUAUGUCUUUAGUGGUUUUCUCCUCUGAGUGACACAUAAACAAAUAAAUAA
rnacentral:misc_RNA from 1 species